UAACACGUAUGCAACCUGCCUGUAAGCGGGGAAGUAACCCGUUGAAAGACGGACUAAUACCGCAUAAUACUAAAUUAACUGCAUGGUAAUUUAUUUAAACAUUUAUGGCUUACAGAUGGGCAUGCGCAUGAUUAGCUAGUUGGAGAGGUAACGGCUCCCCAAGGCAACGAUCAUUAGGGGUUCUGAGAGGAAGGUCCCCCCACACUGGUACUGAGACACGGACCAGACUCCUACGGGAGGCAGCAGUGAGGAAUAUUGGUCAAUGGACGAGAGUCUGAACCAGCCAAGUCGCGUGCAGGAAGAAUUGUCCUAUGGACUGUAAACUGCUUUUGCAGGGGAAUAAAGUGCAUCACGUGUGAUGUUUUGUAUGUACUCUGCGAAUAAGGAUCGGCUAACUCCGUGCCAGCCGCCGC
rnacentral:rRNA from 1 species